rnacentral:rRNA from 1 species
UACGUAGGGUGCAAGCGUUGUCCGGAAUUAUUGGGGCGUAAAGAGCUCGUAGGCGGCGUGUCGCGUCGGGGAGUGAAAGCCCGCUGCUUAACGGCGGGUUGGCUUCCGGUACGGGCAUCGCUGGAGUGCGGCAGGGGGAGACUGGAAUUCCUGGUGUAGCGGUGAAAUGCGCCAGAUAUCAGGAGGAACACCGAUGGCGAAGGCAGGGUCUCUGGGCCGGAUACUGACGCUGAGGAGCGAAAGCGUGGGGAGCGAACAGG